rnacentral:lncRNA from 1 species
UAAGUAACUAUUAUUUUGAAGAAUUUCAUGGAGUAAUUACUCAAUAAAAGGGUAGUUGACCGAGUAACAGGUGACACAAAAGCAUUAAACAUUAGGACAUGCACUAAUGGUUAGUCACUCAAAAAAACUACCAUCAAAAUUGAAAGAAAAGCUGGGAAUGGCAUUUGAAAUGGCAAAACAAAUAAAUAUGAUCCUGCUUUUGAAUGACCCAAAGGAUGAAAUUGUGGUGUGCGGCGGUUGUUGUACCAGCUUUGACUUGUAUUAAUCUGAACCAAAAAUCAUGAAUAAUCCAUUCUCCUAUGGUAUAAAAGUCUUUAAUCAUCAAUAAAUUUGGAAAGCCACAUAAAACAAGCGGAGCCACAGGGUCCUCACCAACCCCAUUGUCUGUCAAAUCGGGACCAAAAUGAGUUUCUCUACCAACCCAAGUUAUGAUUGGAUACUGCACAAAAUUAUUGGAAGAGUAUUGGGCCCUGCUCCUUCAUCUCAUACAAUUAUAUGCUAAAUUCAUCUCUCUAAAUGUGAUUUGCUCAAGAUUAGACAAGUGGAAGGAAUAUUCCUAGUUGGGUUACUACUUGAUAGGUCAUAAGAAACAGUUUUGUAAUGUAUUUGCAGGUGCUCAGAUGAGAAGAACCCAAGAAAACAACCUUACAAGUUCUCAAACCAGAAGCUAAGGGAUCUGGGUUUCGAAUUCACCCCAGUAAAGCAGUGUCUGUAUGAAACUGUUAAGAGUUUGCAGGAAAAGGGUCACCUUCCAAUCCCAAAACAAGCUGCAGAAGAGUCUUUGAAAAUUCAAUAAGGCCUCUUGGAACUAUUUAUUAGGAUUGUUCCAUACCCCAAGUUUGGAUCGCAAAUGCUAGGGAAAGGAGCAUAUUAAAGAAUGCCAAUGUGCAGGUGUUUUAGUAUUUUACAUGAAGAACUCUGAUUAUCCUUGUGCUUAUAAUAAUUUUUUUCAAGUGAGUGUCUUCAAAUGUUCAACUUGUAUUUGUGGUUGUCUAACUUUAUCCAGUUUCAAUAUAAAAGAGGAACGAUUCUAUGUCUUACACAAGAGCAUCAACUUUGACCACACAACUGGCAUAUGCUUUGUUCAAUUUUGAGACCUUAACCUACAUGAUAGGUACGCUAAUUUCAAUGAAGGGAAUCCACCAGAUAUGAUGUUGACGCCAUGUAUAAUCAGAAGAUGAUUGUAUAUUAGUGGUGGAAUAAUCAUCCUUGUGAUAUUCAAGUAAGAAAACAAAUUCAACAACUAUUUAAAUAAAUAAAAAAUUAAAAGAAUAAAAAUUAAAUAUGACUAAUAAUAAAAAAUUAAAGGAGGAUGGAAUUGAAAUAAAAUGAAAUUUAAAAAAUUAAUUAAAAUAAAACAAGAAGGAAUAAAAAAGAAGGAACAAAAUCAAAAAGAAAAAUAACUUGAAGGGCUAAUCUGCAAAUUUAAAGGGUCAGUUAUAGAUUACUAGGAGGAAGAGAAAAGAAGGGGGGCGAAAAAAGAUUGUCGGUGUUUCACCAGAGGUUUGUUGACCGUACAUGUGUGAGGAAGAAGAGGAGGUCGAAAUGAAUCAAAUAACAUGAUAGAAAAAUGGUUUUCACCAUCCUCCACACGCUACCUGAAGAUGACGAAGUGGAUAAGCUCAUGUAGGACCAAAAAUCAAGAAAUUAUUAUUAAAAAACCAAAGUAAAAUGAUGUAUAAGCUCAUGUAGGCAAGCUUUUGGAAUUUUGAUUCAAAAGAUAAUAGUAUGUAACAAAAAAAAAUGAAAUAUAAAAAAGUUCUUAAACCAUAGUUAAAUGCUUUUUUUUUGUUUUUAAGGGCAAUAAAGUGAUUUAUUGUAAAAAAAUCUUAAAAAAACCGAAAUGCUCCUAAAUAAUUUUAGAAUAACAAACGAACCAAGUAAGAAGAUCAAUUUACUCCUUAAAGGGCAGUUCAUUGCAAUUUUUUAAAGGGUAAAAUCAAUUCACUAUUACAAUCUAAAGAAAUUCAAGGCAUAUUCACAUUCCACAUGUUUUAGCUUUUCCUUUUCAUACGGCUUAAGAUUUGACUCAGUUUUAGAUCCCAAUCAUUGAGUUGUCGGGUCAAUUCGUUGAUCAUCGAGUUAACUCGGGUGAAUAAUUUUUUCUAAAACAAUGUUAUUUUAGUUUUUUUUUAAAAAAAUUCUUGAAUUAAUCUGAUCAAAUCUUACUUGAAUUUAUAAUCAACUGGGUUCCAAGUCAACAAAUCAAGUUUAUUGAAUUUGACCACAUGAAUGUCCAAAACAAUCUGAAGUAAAACUUGAUAUGGUGAAUUCGCUAGACUAAGGUCGGUAAUAAUUAUGAUCCACAAACCAAGCUGCACUGCUGGCAAGUAGCAACUACUAUUUCAUUUUCAUUGAUUGUUAUGAUGAUUGACUGUUAUGAUGUCAUGGGCUGAUAUUACAGGUAUGCAUGCAUAUUUCGAACUAAGAUGGUAUUUGCUGGAAACCUAUCAUGUUUGAGUGUGGGAAUUAUGUUAGUUUCUUGUAAGUCAAAGGAUCUCUAGCUAGAGUAAGGAUCUUAGUUUCUUAUCCUUAAAAUCUUGUCCAAUUAAGCAAAGAAAAAGGAAGAACUUCUGUAGAUAUGAACUGCAUUAGAUUGGAAGCAUUUUUUAGGAAUCUUGAGCCGUUUAAUUUCCACCAAAUGAUAUAUUUUAGACUUGACCUGAGCACGGUAGAGAGGCCAUCAUCACAGAAUUACAAGCAGUAUUUUCCAAGAGGCAGAAACAAAUAAGGGACUCCAUAAGAAGCCACCAGAAAACAACGUAUACAAUAGCCCAAAUCCAAGCUUCAGUUGAGAUGUCCAUUGCCAGAUGGCCUCAAUGUCCAAAGAAGAAAGAGAGGACAUUAUGGCCAGAUCGUUUGCUUUCUUCAGUGCAUACUCUUUCUUGUGGAAGACGGAUCCAAAUCAAGCCACAUCUUCAGCUGAUGAGUACUGGUUGGCUAUAAUUAUUGGUCACAGCCACACCUUCUAUCAGAGGUCCAGUUUUAGGAACCUGUCAUUUUUUGAGUGUGAGAGUUAUAUUAGCUCCUUGCAAGUUUCGUUCACAGGAUCUCUAGAGCAAGGACAUUAUUUUCCCAUCCUUUAAUGUAAACAUCUAGUGGUUCUGAGCAGAUUUAAAAUCGUGAUCAUUGAGGCUUUGAAUUCACCUCAGUAAAACAAUGUCUCUAUGAAACUGUGAAGAGCUUUCAGCAAAAGGGUCACCAUCCAAUCCCGAAACAAGCUGAAGAGUCUGUGAAAAUUCAACAAGGCCUCUUGGACCUAUUUAUUAGGAUACAGUUCCCUGCCCCAUCGCAAAUACUAGGGAAAGGAGCAUAUUAAAGAAUGCCAAUGUGCAGGUGUUUUAGUAUUUUACAUGAAGAACUCUGAUUAUCCUUGUGCU